rnacentral:rRNA from 1 species
UACAGAGGUCUCAAGCGUUGUUCGGAUUCAUUGGGCGUAAAGGGUGCGUAGGCGGCGUGGUAAGUCGGAUGUGAAAUCUCGGAGCUUAACUCCGAAACUGCAUUCGAUACUGCCGUGCUUGAGGACUGGAGAGGAGACUGGAAUUUACGGUGUAGCGGUGAAAUGCGUAGAUAUCGUAAGGAAGACCAGUGGCGAAGGCGGGUCUCUGGACAGUUCCUGACGCUGAGGCACGAAGGCCAGGGGAGCAAACGGG